CAGAAGCAACCGGCUGCUGAACCGCAGCAGAACGAACCGGCCAUCAUACCCCAGCAAGUGGGGUAUCCAGCUCAAAUGUCCCAGCAGCGGAAGCAACACACUGCCAUGCCACAGCACCAGCUGACCCCCAUGCCUCAGCAAUUAUGGCAUGUAGCACAAAUGCCCCAGAAGCAACUGGCCCCAAUGUCUCAGCAGAAUCACUACGAAAGCACUGAAGAUGGUGCCUCUAGUAGCACUCAGGCCAGCAUCGUUGAACAGUCGGGUGUCAUCCCAAUCUAUUCCUACAGUUCCAAAUCGCACUACGAGAAUGGCAGGACUGUAUUCUCCCUAACCCGCUACACUCCUAGGGAGGCUAUGCCUGUUGAUAGUGGAAAUGCUCCCAAGGACAGUUUUGUUCACUAGUGAAGGAUUCUGCAAGGAAAAUGUAAUGGAUUCAUCCUCUAGAAGCUAAUGGAAGUGUCUGGUGCUCUUGCUACUCCAGCGUGAGGGAGUCCAUGAACAGUUCUACUUUCAAAAAUGCCUGGUGUCUUUGAAAUAAUGGUUCUCGUGUCCAUUGCUUGCUAAUUGAGAACAGGUGGUGUGCAGUCUGUAGUAAAAAUGACUGCUCAGUUCAUUCUUUGGUUUUCUAAUCUUUUACCUUUGCUACUUGUUGUUCAAAAUAAAAGCUUGGGGUGAGUUGUCA